AUGAACGCUGGCGGCGUGCCUAAUACAUGCAAGUCGAGCGAACAGACGAGUAGCUUGCUCCUCUGACGUUAGCGGCGUACGGGUGAUUAACACGUGGAUAACCUACCUAUAAGACUGGGAUAACUUCGGGAAACCGGAGCUAAUACCGGAUAAUAUAUUUAACCGCUUGGUUCAAUAGUUAAAUACGGUUUUUCUUUCACUUAUAGAUGGAUCCUCUCCGCAUUAGCUAGUUGGUAAGGUAACGGCUUACCAAGGCAACGAUGCGUAGCCGACCUGAGAGGGUGAUCGGACACACUGGAACUGAGACACGGUACAGACUACUACGGGAGGCAGCAGUAGGGAAUGUGCCGCAAUGGGCGAAAGCAUGACGGAGCAAAGCCGAGUGAGUGAAGAAGGUCUUCGGAUCGUAAAACUCUGUUAUUAGGGAAGAACAAAUGUGUAAGUAACUAUGCACGUAUUGACGGUAACUAAUCAGAAAGCCACGGCUAACUACGUG
rnacentral:rRNA from 1 species